GAUGAACGCUGGCGGCGUGCCUAAUACAUGCAAGUCGAGCGAACGGACGAGACGCUUGCUUUUCUGAUGUUAGCGGCGGACGGGUGAGUAACACGUGGAUAACCUACCUAUAAGACUGGGAUAACUUCGGGAAACCGGAGCUAAUACCGGAUAAUCUUUUGAACCGCAUGGUUCAAAAGUGAAAUACGGUCUUGCUGUCACUUCUAGAUGGAUCCGCGCUGCAUUAGCUAGUUGGUAAGGUAACGGCUUACCAAGGCUACGAUGCAUAGACGACCUGAGAGGAUGAUCGGCCACACGGGAACGGAGACACGGACCAGACUCCUACGGGAGGCAGCAGUAGGGAAUCUGCCGCAAUGGGCGGAAGCCUGACGGAGCGACGCCGCGUGAGUGAUGAAGGUCUUCGGAUCGUAAAACUCUGUUAUGAGGGAAGAACAUAUUUGGAAGUAACUGUGCACAUCGUGACGGUACCUAAUCAAAAAGCCCCGGCUAACUACGUG
rnacentral:rRNA from 1 species